rnacentral:rRNA from 1 species
UACAGAGGGGGCAAGCGUUGUUCGGAAUUACUGGGCGUAAAGGGCGCGUAGGCGGCCUGUUAAGUCGGACGUGAAAUCCCUCGGCUCAACCGGGGAACUGCGUCUGAUACUGAGUGGCUUGAGUGCAGGAGAGGAAUGCGGAAUUCCAGGUGUAGCGGUGAAAUGCGUAGAUAUCUGGAGGAACACCGGUGGCGAAGGCGGCGUUCUGGACUGCAACUGACACUGAGGAACGAAAGCCAGGGGAGCAAACGGG